rnacentral:rRNA from 1 species
CGUGGGCAAUCUGCCUUAAAGUGGGGGAUAGCUCGGCGAAAGCCGGAUUAAUACCGCAUGUGAUCAGGGGAGACAUCUUCCCAAAAUCAAAGUCGGGGCAACCUGACGCUUUUUGAGGAGCCCGCGGCCUAUCAGCUAGUUGGUGAGGUAAUGGCUCACCAAGGCGUUGACGGGUAGCUGGUCUGAGAGGACGACCAGUCACACUGGAACUGAGACACGGUCCAGACACCUACGGGUGGCAGCAGUCGAGAAUUUUUCUCAAUGGGGGAAACCCUGAAGGAGCGACGCCGCGUGGAGGAUGAAGGUCUUCGGGUUGUAAACUCCUGUCAUUUGGGAACAAUGCUUACGUAUUAACUGUACGUGAGUUGAUAGUACCAGAAGAGGAAGAGACGGCUAACUCUGUGCCAGCAGCCGCGGUAAUACAGAGGUCUCAAGCGUUGUUCGGAUUCAUUGGGCGUAAAGGGUGUGUAGGUGGCGCGCUAAGUCGGGUGUGAAAUUUCGGAGCUUAACUCCGAAACUGCAUUCGAUACUGGCGUGCUUGAGGACUGGAGAGGAGACUGGAAUUCAUGGUGUAGCAGUGGAAUGCGUAGAGAUCAUGAGGAAGACCAGUGGC